rnacentral:tRNA from 1 species
GUCUUCUUGGUGUAGUGGUCAGCACGCUCGACGCGUAACCGAGAGGUCCGUGGUUCGAUUCCCGGCGAAGGCG